GAUGAACGCUGGCGGCGUGCUUAACACAUGCAAGUCGAACGGAAAGGCCCAAGCUUGCUUGGGUACUCGAGUGGCGAACGGGUGAGUAACACGUGGGUGACCUGCCCUGCACUUCGGGAUAAGCUGGGGAAACUGGGUCUAAUACCGGAUAGGACCUCAUUUUGGAUGGUGGGGGGGAAAGUUUUUCGGUGUGGGAGGAGCUCCCGGCCUAUCAGCUUGUUGGUGGGGGAAUGGCCUUCCAAGGCGUCGACGGGGGGCGGGCGUGUGAGGGUGUACGGCCACAUUGGGACUGAGAUACGGCCCAGACUCCUACGCGGGGCAGCAGUGGGGAAUAUUGCACAAUGGGCGCAAGCCUGAUGCAGCGACGCCGCGUGGGGGAUGACGGCCUUCGGGUUGUAAACUCCUUUCGCUAGGGACGAAGCGUUUUUGUGACGGUACCUGGAGAAGAAGCACCGGCUAACUACGUG
rnacentral:rRNA from 1 species